rnacentral:lncRNA from 1 species
CUGAUCUCGACCCUUCCACAAAGCACGGCCCAGAGGUUAGCGGUAUGGAGGCCUGUGCAGGGUGUGUUGGAGCCAGCCGUAGGAGCACAAACUCCCACCCCAGGGCUGAUGCCGUGAAGGAUGAGGGCAUCCCGGCACUUGUGAGAGGUUAAAAUGCUUCAUGUGGAGAGCGGAAGUACCCAGGACGAAAGGAUGCACUGUCAUCCUGCUAGAAGGACGGCAGCAUGGGUGCCGGCCUGUUGAGGCAUCCGCUCUGCAGGCCCCUCUGCUUUCCACAGACUGACCCAGGCUGCCCAGCUGUUCGGGCUGUCUCCCAGGGAUCUGAAAGAGGCUUU